AAUAAUUUUCUGACUGCCAUUCUCCUUUUAAAUAACCUAUACAAUUACAGAUUUUUAAUCCAUAAUGUAUAUCUUUUAGUUUUGUUGGCCAUGUUUUACCAACAUGAAGUCCAAAACUGAAUUCUCAAAGAAAUAAGAUUAAUGAAAUUCUGCUUCUAUUCCCUGUUGCUAUUACUUCAGGUUUUGUAAAAUGUGGUUGUUUUGGUACUUGAGGUAUGGCAUCACUGUGGGUCUAUAGCAACUCCCUUGUGCUGGAUCAAGUCUUUUUAUUUUUCUUUUACAAUGGGUGAGAUGUGUUUAAUUUAUUGUAGGAAACUCUUAAAGAUGCAAGAUCCUUUUUAGAGGCUUCUACAAUAGCCGUGAAGCACUUAUUUAAUCCCAUUGAAUAGAGGUUAGAUUUACUAGCUGGGCUAGACAUGAUUUUUGUUCAGGAGUCAUCUUGGAGUACAUCGAAGUUUAAAGAUCUUUGCAGAAAAACCAUGGAGAAACAAAAGGAGUAAAUUUUAAAAGGAACUUUGUCAAGGAGUUUUAGAUGUUAAACAGAUAGAAAAACCAUGGUGGCUUGACUGAAGCGAGCGUUGGGUUAGCAGAAUUGUUACAGAUCCAGUGAGACAUGCUAAUGAGGCACUUUAAAUGCAAGUUUGAUGGAAAAAGGGGCAAUUUCAUACCGAAGUGCAGCAAGGUUACUGAAUCAAAGAAGGUACACUUCAGUUCUGCAAAAGGGAACAAUGCUUCAUUGUCAGAUCCUUUUUCUUUUGACUUUAAACAUGUUUUAACUACACUAUUUACUAAAUUGUACAAUGUGGCUUGCCCACUGAUUGAGAAUUUAUGACCAGAAACAAACCUGUUAGGGAAAAAGAAGGGCUGAGCGUGAUCCAUACUGUAGUUGCAUAAAAUAGUCUGAAUGGACUUAACCUGAGCACUAUGGGGGGUGCACAAUAUGUUUUUCAAGCCCAGGGGCCUAGGAUCUGAUUUCAAAUAGAAUUUAGUCUUUCAGUACAAUUUAAAAAAAGGAGAGCGUUUGGAGACAUCUGUGGUUUCUCAACGUGUGUUAAUGUAGAUGUCUCAGUUUUGUCUGCUUCAGAAUUGUGCCUUGUCAACUCAUCCAGCAUGCAAAAUUCCUCAGAUUGCAUCAUGCCUGAAAUUCACAAGCACCUUCUUUUACUUCCAGUCCUUACAGUUGGUGAAAAAUUGAGGCGAACAACAUCAGCUCUUUCUCCUGCUGCCAUGGAAAAUCAAUGCAGAAAUCUUUAGCUUCCAUGAAGAGGAGGGUCCAAGCUUCUUUAUAAGCAGCUUUUGGGCCUCUUGAAUGCUAAGCUCCUGUUGCUGGAAACCUUUCUAAGGAAGGAAUAAAAGAGCAUAUGUAAUUUCUGGCAGAUGACCUUAUGGAGAAGAGGAGACCCGUUGCGUCAGGAGAAUUCAGACUCCAGAACACAAUGGACUGCCUGCAACUUUUACUCCUUGCCAUACCUGCUGCUCUGGGGCAGUAGUGGAGGGCAGAGCAGACACCUGGGAGAGGCAGGGUCUCCCUCCAGAACUACAGAUCCAUGUGGGAGCUGCCAUGGAAGUGAGUGUCCCUCCUGACACACACAUCUCACAGCUGUUUCUGCAGGUGGAAAGGCAGCCUACAUGGAUUUAUGUAUUCCAUUGGAGUGCAGGGUUGGUGGCAGUGAAAGCCACUCAGCAGUUCUUGUAACAACUCUGCUCUGAGAAUGUUUCCCCUUGAGUGUCAAUUUUCAAAUGGAAAAUACUCCACAAAGCAGAGAUACUGCGGAGUUAUGGAAAGCUGGUCUUGAAAGCUGUCAUGAAAUAAAUACAUAUACGACGUUAUAAAAAUGGGUUUUGUAUAAACUGCCCUCUUUUAGCAAACAUUUCACUUCCUAUAAUUGUGUGCGCUUUUGUUUGAACUUAUCAAAUAUGUGAUUGUUCUCCUUCUCCUUCAGGGAGAUAAGAAAUCCACCCUCCGGAUAUGUAGAAUGAUGUUGUUGUAAUCACUCUUCAAAGGGAGAUCCACAGUAAACAAAUGUUAGCAUGUCGCCUCUACAGCUUCUUUUGAUACCAUAUCAGGAUGGGUGAGCUGUCUCCACUUAAGGCAAAUUAACCUGUGAAGAAACAAAGCAAAAUGCAAGUUAACAGCUUCCUGAUUUUGCUUAUGAAAAUGAGUUUCAGGUGCAAAGUUGUGAUCUAUGUAAGUUAUAUGUGAUCACUCAGUAUCAGAAGAUAACUCACUCAGGCCGUUUAAGGACAGAAGCAAGAACAAAAAACAUGCUAGUGGUGACAAUGCUGCAACAUCAGAUGAAGGCAUCUACUGUGUGAAAAAUAAGUAAAAAGUAACUUUACAAGUGUCUCUGUCCUUCCUCUGUUUCUUGAAAUGAGAAGAAAGAAGAACUAAGUGCAAAGAUUUCUCUCUUCCUUUUCAGGGAGCUAGUUUGGAGCUGCCUUUUGCUACUCAAGGUUAUUGCUUUCUUGGACUUUAAAUUGGUUUCUUCUGAGCGAAGCAAAGAUUGUACUGACAUAAAUGUCACUUGAAUUAAUGUAUUCUUGUUUCUGUCUUUAUUUUUUCUCUCGGAGCUACUUCUAGCUUAAAUUACCAAAUAUUUCAGGGCUUGAAGACAAGGUCACAGUCAUGCAAAGAAUUAGAACUGUGGGACAUUUCAAGUUUGUCUUCAAUAUUUUGAGAGAAACACAGUUUGAGCACAGUUUUUUCUUAGCUUACAAAGGAAAAUAACUGUAUCAGAAACGAUAGUAAUCACCAUUACUGAAAACCACUUGCUUGGUGGUGUUUUCUUCAGUGAAAGUGAGGGGGAAUGACUAGUCAAGCGAUAUAAAGAACAGCGUGUAAAUCAUAACUGUAGCUGGAGAUCUCCUCGACCAUGACUAAUUCUGCUGCUGAUUCUCAUCUUUUUCUGAUGAUUGCUUCACUCCCUUUGAAGAGACCACAGGCGUCCUGAGUCUAAGUGCAUGGCCACAUAGCCUCUGCACAUAAUACUCGGUCUGUCAGCUGUUCAUGUGUGAUAUAUUGCAAAAACUCGGUGUGCAGUUUUGCCGGCUAGAGUCAUGACUCUCCUGGCAUGUUUCUGAACUCUUAAUAGAAAAGCAAAACAUUAGUGUCUAGUACCCAGAAAUAUUCUUCAGAGAGAGUAGGAGCAAUUACAAAAGUUCACUUUUAAUGAGUGUCAUCAGACUAGUUACCUAUUCGUGGUAGUUUUCCUGGAAAACAAAGGCAAGAGGCAGUAUGCUAGCAUAAGCAAAACUUUUUUAAAGUGGAUUUGGAUAUUAUGUAGCAUUCUUUUUCAAAGUACAUUGCUACUUCUUGUCUUGUCAAGCAUUAGCAGAACAAUGUGAGUUUUCUGGUAUUAUGAGGAAAUAUUUGUCUUGCAUGACCUAGUUCUCAGUUACACUUCUGCAUAUCCUAAUGACUGGAAAAUGUACUGUAUUACAUGAGAGGAUUACGGUAGGAGAUAAAUGAACAGAAUCAAUUAUUACAGUAGAGAACAUCAGUGGCAGUGAGCAAUAAGCAACUAAAUUUAGGAGAAGAACAGUAGAGCGUAAUGCAAGAUUUUUCAAAAGCAUCCCACUUCAUGAGAACACAAAAAACCUUUGGAGCCUUGGGAAUUUGGUAGUGUUGAAUAAAUAAAAUCUUCCGUGACUUUUUGUCAGCAGAAUGUGUGAACUUCACAUGAAUGAAAAGUGGGGGGGAAGCAAAGAAUCCAAGGAGUUUUCUGUAUGUUAUUUGUGAACACUUCAUACUUUACAGUCACUACACAUAAU